CACUUCACCAGAUGCACCUUGUUUCUUUUCCUCACCUUUGAUUGGGUGUGGUGCUUGGCUUUAAUUGCAAUCACCUGUCACUCGUUAUAUAAGGACUGCACUCACUUACCCUUCACUCUUUCUUCACUCCCACAUGGGGCGGCAGCUGAGUUUACCUGCAUCGAGGAGUUUAAUGAUGGCAGGGGCGUGGUCCAUGUCGAGCGAUACGUUGUCCAGCCAGUUGUUGUCCAUGAGGAAGAGGAAGACGCCGAGUCGGGUUUUGAGGGCAGCCAGAGACUCUGCCUUCCUCGUGGUGAUGUCAUCGGGGUGGUACUUGGAGCGGAACCACUCCUGCUCUUUGUGCUGGAGGAAGAAGUCCUGCAGCUGCUGCCGCCUGAAGUCUAGCUUGUACUGGUUGUAGCGCUUCACGGCCUCCGUCUCGUCCACGCUGUCCUCCAUGUUCAACAGGAAUUCCUGCAAACGCGUCACAGACGUGAUGUCAUAACCUCGCCAAACAGACGCUUUGAUGCCUCCUUAUUUUUUUAAAUCAGAGACCCACCUUAAAGCUCCUCAU